ACCAGCGGCGAUAGCACAUUGAAUGCACCAGUUCCCCACGGAUCACUGAAGUUAAGCAACGUUGCAGGUGGUUAGUACCUGGAUGGUGACCAUCUGGGGAAUCGUAUGCUGCUGGGU
rnacentral:rRNA from 1 species